UUGAACGCUGGCGGCAUGCUUUACCCCUGCCAGUCGAACGGUAACAGGCCGCAAGUUGCUGCCGGGUGGGGAAGGGGUGAGUAAUGCAUCGGAACGUGCCCAGUCGUGGGGGAUACCUACUCGAAAGAGUAGCUAAUACCGCAUACGAGCUAUGGAGGAAAGCGGGGAACGGUAAGGCCCGGCGCGUUUGGACCGGCGGAUGUCCGGUUAGGUAGUUGGUGGGGUAAAGGCUCCCCAUGCCAACGAUCUGUAGCUGGUCUGAGAGGACGACCAGCCACACUGGGACUGAGACACGGCCCAGACUCCUACGGGAGGCAGCAGUGGGGAAUUUUGGACAAUGGGCGCAAGCCUGAUCCAGCAAUGCCGCGUGCAGGAAGAAGGCCUUCGGGUUGUAAACUGCUUUUGUACGGAACGAAACGGCUCUGGUUAAUACCCGGGGCUAAUGACGGUACCGUAAGAAUAAGCACCGGCUAACUACGUG
rnacentral:rRNA from 1 species